AGUGAACGCUGGCGGUAUGCCUAACACAUGCAAGUCGAACGGCAGCACAGUAAGAGCUUGCUCUUACGGGUGGCGAGUGGCGGACGGGUGAGGAAUACAUCGGAAUCUACUUUUUCGUGGGGGAUAACGUAGGGAAACUUACGCUAAUACCGCAUACGACCUACGGGUGAAAGCAGGGGAUCUUCGGACCUUGCGCGAUUGAAUGAGCCGAUGUCGGAUUAGCUAGUUGGCGGGGUAAAGGCCCACCAAGGCGACGAUCCGUAGCUGGUCUGAGAGGAUGAUCAGCCACACUGGAACUGAGACACGGUCCAGACUCCUACGGGAGGCAGCAGUGGGGAAUAUUGGACAAUGGGCGCAAGCCUGAUCCAGCCAUACCGCGUGGGUGAAGAAGGCCUUCGGGUUGUAAAACCCUUUUGUUGGGAAAGAAAAGCAGCAGGUUAAUACCCCGCUGUUCUGACGGUACCCAAAGAAAAAGCAACGGCUAACUUCGUG
rnacentral:rRNA from 1 species